rnacentral:lncRNA from 1 species
AAACACAAAUCAUCUAUGGGUAACCCUGCUGACCCACACCCAACCCCGGAUGAGGCGUACGAAAAACUCUAGGAGCUCCUAUCCUACAACCCUGAUUCUAGACCUCCAGACUUUCUUGUACCAUGGAAAUGGCAUAAAAAUGUUUAUCAUAUUAUAAAUUUGAAACACGCUUAAGGAGGAGCUUAGUAUAUUGUUGCCAUUGAAGUGUUCAUCGAAAAUGCAAUACACAAAGAUUUCAGCAUACAAUUAUUGAUCAUUAUAAUCCAUUAAGAUUUCAGUUUCCAGGGUAGUGGCAAGUCUAUUUGCUACUCCCUCCGUUUCAAUUUAUCUGAACUUAUUUUCUUUUUCGACCAUGCUAAAAAGAUUGACCCUUUCCAUAUUUGGAAACAAUUUACCUUUAUUCAAAUAAUUUAUAUGUGUCUCAUUUCAAACCACAUUUUCUUUUUUCUUAAACUCCGUGCUUAGUCAAAUAGGUUUAGAUAGAUUGAAACAGAAGCAGUAAUAUUUUUUCAGUUCCAUAACAAGAGCCAGGGUUUAUUGACCUGAUCAGUCUGACGGAGUAUUCAAAUGUAGUGGAUGACUUUGUUACCCAUCACUGCAUCUAAAAUAACAAAUCUAAGCAAUGAAGAUCAAUUUUCAUUUCUCUCUUUCUUGGUUCAGACAAGUUUUCAGGUCUCAAAGAUAUUAUAGUACUUUUAGGAUCAAAUUUGGAAAAAAAGAUUCUGAAUAAAAAGAUUGAAUCAAAAGAGAUUCCAUACCAAAAGGUAUGAUGUUUCAAACUUUGAAAGCAUAAGGAAUCAAUAAAAUGAAAUUUUAUACCAAAAGAAAUGAGCCAAGAGGCUAAAUUUUUGGGGGGCAUUUAAGUUAAUGGACUAUUUGAAAAUUUUAACCAAGUAACCAGAAAUAUUAUGCAGAUAGAAAAGGUAAGAAUUUUGAAAUGAUUCCCUUUUCUAUUUUUGGUUAAAGUUUUUGAACUCGAUUCUUAGAGGGAAAAUAACAAAAGACAGAGAACACCACCAGAAAGAAAAAGAAGAAAAUAAAGAGAGAAGAGAAAACCAGUAAAAUAAAAUGGGCAGCUAAAGAUACAAAAUUUGAUCCAUUUUUCAGAGAAUGACAGAAAAAAGCCCAAUUACAAUUGUGAAAACAAACCUAUUUUUUGCUUAUAUAUCCAAAAAGAAACAAACACGAAGACAUCAAAUAUAAACAGGACAAUAAUUGGAGAGAGAGAGAAAAGGGGGACCAGCAAGAUCAUGUUGGGAAGCCAUGGAUUUAUGCAAAUCAACAAGCUGUUCACAAAUGGUAGCAUAUACUGCUAUUUGCUUCCUUAAAACUUCCAUUUGCUCAUCAGUCAUCACUUUCACAAACAUCCCACCCCCUCCUCCUCCUCCUAAUUCCUCCGCCGUCUGCGGUGGCUGCUGUGGUGGUUGCUGCAUGUCCCACUCCAUACUAACCUCUUCUUCUUCUUAAAAAUGUAUAAUAGUGCUCUUUUUUGUCUGAAUUGAAGUAAAUACAGAGUGAAUAAAAAGAGAGAAAAGGGUAACGAGAAAGUAAAGCAAAAGCGGGAGAGAAGACUACUACUGAAGUGGACACAGUAAAGACAAGUUUGGACGUAUAGCGUACCUGUACUAACAUGCAGUCCAUGUGGGGUAUAAUUUUUUAAAUUUUUUAUUCUUUUCCAUUUUAAAUAAUUACUACUCUACUACUAAGUGUCUAUUUAUAUAAUUAAAAAGAUACAAAUUUUAUUUUUUGUAAAAUUUAUCUUUGUUUAUAUAUUCUAAUAUGUCAAGAUAAUAGUUAAUUAAAAUUAAUUUAAUAAAUAUAUCGUAUUUUUUUAACAAGCGUGUGUGAAGUAUAAAAUGGUCAAUUAUGGACCACAGUGAGCAAGUAUUAGUGAUUGAAAAUUGGAAUGACUUUUUGGGGUCUAUUAUUAGACUAGGAAAAAUAAUUAUUUGAGGUUAAAACCAAAUGAUUCUCUUGGGAUUGAGGUACGCAGUACUUUCAUCCCAUAAUGGAUUCUUAGAUUUAUUUGGUUAUGUACCAUGCCUAAUUUGGGCGGUAAUGUUCGUCCUAAUAAUGGGCGUAAUAUUUAUUUAUUUUUGCACCUUUUUUUGUUCUGUUUUUGAAUGAUCUUUUAUAUGAUUUUAGGUAAUAGCGCAUCCAGAAAAUAUAUACUCUAUAGUUUAUUUCUUUCGAUUCGUGUCACUAUUUUUAUAUUAAUUUAUUUUUAUAUUUAAAAAUAAUUUAAUUAUGAGCUUCCAAUUUUACUCAUAUGGAGUAGCUUUCAAAAGUCUCAUAACAAAACAAAUAAUAAUAUAUGUUUAAAAUUACAAAAGUCUUAUUAUAAUACAAAUAUUGUGAUAUGUUUGAAUUUACUAUUUUAAGAAAAAAUAUAUUUCCUUUUCAGAUUUUGUGCUGAGUCAAACGUCAGAUAAAUUAGAAUAAAGUAAAUAUUAAUUUAAGAAAUAAAAAGGCCAAAGAAUUUUCCAAAGAAAAUAUCAAAGUUCAGCUGGCUCAGAAUAUUUCACUAAUCCAUGAUAUGAAUUUUUUUUUCUGGAAAGGGAUGGAUUUUCAUAUAAUAUAUAUAUAUAUAUAUAAUGAAGAUCAAUUUUCAUUUCUCUCUUUCUUGGUUCAGACAAGUUUUCAGGUCUCAAAGAUAUUAUAGUACUUUUAGGAUCAAAUUUGGAAAAAAAGAUUCUGAAUAAAAA